GUCAUUUCUCAGCCUUUUGGCUUAGAUCAAGUGAAGUAUCAGUUCUUAUCAGUUUAUUAUCUGAUAUGUCUUCUGCCUGAGGGCAAUAUAUUAAAUGGAGUUUUGGAGCAAGAAGAUGAAAUAGGAGCUUGCUCCAUCCGCUCUGCUUAUCAACCCAGUAUUGCAGUACCUUCAAGAACAGUGCAAAAACA